UGCCGCCUGAAACGCAAUAAAGUUAUUAGGAGUUAUUUAUUAAGCCUCUGACCCGGAAACUGAUCAUGGAUUGUUUUCUAAUAGUUAUUAACAGUAAUAGUAAUGGCUACAGUGUGCAAAGAACUAGAUGAUACGCUGCAACUGAAACUAUUACCUAAUCUAGCCAUGCAUUCAAACUUGAACACAGAGAAGAUGAAAUUCACUCUAUCACUCCCCUGCUAAUAAGGCACCACUGAAGCUGAGCCAAAAGGCUGGAGUUUGUAGACCUGCACAAACUGCAGUUUGUAGAACACUCACACUGCCUACCCAGGGUCGAGUACAUCCUACCCAAGGCUGCACUUGCAGGAAUCAGAUCCCCACAGUUGCAGCAGGAUUUCAUCACGUAGCCUUGGAGCAGCUUGUUGCUUCCCCAGCACUGUGUGUUUUAAUUAAAUGAAACACUCCUUGCUAA